rnacentral:tRNA from 1 species
CAAAAUGUGGCUAAACUNGUAAAGCACCUCCCUUACACCGNGGAAAUACUCGUGCAAUCCGAGUCAUUUUGA